AUCCAGCUGACGAGUCCUUAAUGGGACGAAACGUGCGUCCUGGAU
rfam:Schistosoma mansoni strain Puerto Rico chromosome 1, complete genome